AGAACACAUUUUUAGAGCCAAAAGAACCUCUCCCACUCCAUUCUAGUGUGUGAUUUGAGAAGAAAAGUGAGUUGGGUUGAGAGAUUGGAAGAUUGAGUGCAAGUGAGCUAAAUCCAUUCUUGAGCACUCGAGUUCAUCGGCAAGAAGUUCGAUUGCGUUUGUUACUCUUGGAGGUGAAGCCUUCUAGUCGGCUAGGUGUUGCCCGGUGAGCUCCCGCAUGUGUGGUGAGCCGCGGAAAAGUUUGUGAAUGUCGAUCUCGCCUCCGAAAGGGAAGAGAUAAAGCUAGUGGAUCGAGAAAAGCGGUUGAAAGAGACCCGGCUCGUUGGAGCUUCCUCAAUGGAGACGUAGGAUUCACGGUGGUGAAUCCGAACUUCGGGAAACAAAUCUUUGUGUCUCCUCUCUUGUUUCCUUUCUUUUAUGUUCUUGCUCAAAUCUUUGUGCAUAUUGCUCGAUCUACUUGUUUGUGUGUAUUUGAGUGUAGGUUCUUCGUGAAUCUACUUGAAAUCAUCUCCGGGAACACACGACAUCACUUGGUUUGAGCUAGAACUCUCUACUCAUUAAUUUUAUUCAGUUUCGAACUCAGUUCUGUACAGAACCCGAAGAAUCCGGCCUUUACCGGAGUUUCCGGACCUGUACACACCGGAGUAUCCGGACUACACCGGAGUCUCCGGUGAACAGUAAUUUCAGGUAUACGAACAGUGUUUUCAGCCUUUUUCAAUUUAAGUUUUAUUGCAUAUCUCUUGCUAGAAUUGAGUAAUUUUUGUCACCUUAGGAUUGUAAUUUCCACACUUAUUUAGGAUGAUUGUGCACUAGUUGAGCCUAACAUAUUUAGGUUUUUCUCUUGUGAAAAAUCCGUUAACUUAUAUUCCGCUGCAAGUUUAGGCCAACGGUAAAAAGGGACGAAUUUUUGUAAAACGUCUAUUCACCCCCCUCUAGGCGACAUCAUUGUCCUUUCAUUUAGGGCUUUUGACUAGUUAGGCAUGGUAUUGACGUUAGGCUUUGCAAUGGUUCCGUUAGGAUAUUCGGGCUUCCUGCAGCUAGUCUAAGCCUUUGUCAAGUUGAAGCUACGGUGAGAGCUCUGCAUCUCCAGCUGUAGCCUAGCAAUUUUAUCUCAUUGCAACGGCUCAUCCUUAUCGACAUCAUCAGAUGUGACCCCAUUGGAUCAUGAACGAGCCACUCGUUUUCAUGCCAUAGCCGCUCAUGCCCCAUCCCCUCAAUUGCACCACCAGACGUGAUCUAAUCUGAGCUGCACGCAAGUCACAGUGGGAGGGAGGAAGCAUGAGAGGUGGGGUGGCCGCGGUGGGAAGGGAGGAAGCGAAGAUGUGAGGGAUAUCGAGUUUCUACAUCCUGGUAUUCGAUUGCGUGAGAUCGAAUUAUGACGGGUGCUAAAAAAACACAACUUAAUAGAGUUACUUACCCUUUUUUUUAAGAUUAAGUUGCAUUUACUUGAACUAAAAGCUACCUUAGUUCAAUGCAAUACAACUAGAUCAACAACCUAUUAUUAUCACGCUACUCAUCGCGCAUCAAUAAUCGUAUAAAAUUUUUAUUUUCUCUGCAAUGAUAACACACCCAGACUGAAUUUUUUCAUAGUCAGAUAAAAUAUUUCUACCUUCGUGAAAAUAUUUAACUUUCUAUUAAAGUGGAAAUGACAAAUAAAUUCAUUUAAAUCUAUAGCAACAAAAUCAGUGACAAAUUUAUCCUUCCAACCUAUGACAGAAUGGAAAAAAAAUUAGGCCUCCGAACCGCAAACCCCUGUCUCCCUCCCCUCUCCAACUCCAAGCUAGGGUUUUUCCCCACCAGAUCGUCAGGAGCAAGAAGCGCGCAAGGCAGGGAAGGAGAAGAGAAGCGCGUCCGCCAUGGCGUCAACGAAGGUGCAGAGGAUCAUGACUCAGCCCAUCAACCUCAUCUUCCGCUUCCUCCAGAGUAAAGCACGCAUCCAGAUCUGGCUCUUCGAGCAGAAGGACCUGAGGAUUGAAGGCAGGAUCAUCGGCUUUGAUGAAUACAUGAAUUUGGUCUUGGAUGAUGCUGAGGAGAUCAACGUCAAGAAAAACACCAGGAAAUCUCUGGGUCGGAUUCUCUUAAAAGGAGACAACAUUACACUAAUGAUGAACACAUAAGUGAAAAGUAAAGGGAAAGUAACAACUAUUCACUGCACAUCCGGUUGAGUUACCUUUGAGCAUUUUUUAUGUUUGGGUUGGCUUUGCGAUUCAGCAAGGUAUAUGUGUGCUUUUGCUCCAAUCCUUCAUGUUUCGACUUAAACAUUAACAUGUUGAUCAAAAUAGCUCCUUCGUUGAAUUGGUUUGAA